rnacentral:tRNA from 1 species
GGGCAUGUAGCUCAGUAGUAGAGCAGCCCAUUGGUCAGGGCAGGUCGUGGGUUCAAUUCCUAGCCUGUUUA